UUGUUCUUUUAAGAAGGUUGAAAGCAGAUGUGAUAGAGGUAUUCAAAAUGAUGAAAGGUCUAGACACAAGAGAUAGAAACUGUUUUCAUUGGCAGAAGGUUCACAAAUCGGGGACACCAGUUUAAGGUGAUCGGCAAAAGGAGCAGCAGCAACAUGAGGGAAAAACUUUUUUGUGCAACAAGUGGUUAGAAUCUGCAAUGCCCGAGAGUAGUCAAGGAGGUAGUUUCAAUCGCAGCUUUCUAAAGAGAAUUGGAUAAAUACCCAAAGAGAAAAAAAUUUACAGGGCUACGGGAAAGGUCAGUGCAGUGGGACGAGCUGAGUUGCUCUGGCAGAGAGCCAGCACAGACGCAAUGGGCCAAAUGACCUAUUUUCUGUAGCCACUCUAUCAUUCUAAUAUCAUGAGACUGACCUCCGGUUGAUGAGUAUCCCUGUCUGUUGAAGCAGUUUUAUUUAUGCAGCAAUAGGCAUCGUAACCACUUCCAAAACAGGCAAGGGCAGCAGGUGAAUGGGAACACCAUCACCUCCACGUUCCUCGCUGAGUCACACGCCAUCCCAACUUGGACAUCCGUUGCCCAUUUCUUCAUCAUUGCCAGGACAAAAUUCUGGAACUGCCUAUCCAUCAGCACUGCGCUGGAUAACAAGCUCGAUCUCCUUGUCUCGUCCUUUACGGACCUCCUCUUUCAAUCCUCGUUCACGGAUCCUAAUGUGAACCUCACCGACCUUUUGCGUGGGAAGUUUGUGACCUGGGCUGACACAAACCUUGCUGACUGGACCUGACCACAGAAUCUAGACGAGAUAAUGGCAAAUCAGCCAACGAUGAUUUCUGGUAAACAUUGGCACAUAUCCAAGUCCUGAAGUCCAAACCACACUGUAGGAUUCCAAAGGGAAAAUGGUGACAACGUUACAUUGCAUACACCAAGACACAAGGAGGAGUGCAGAAUCCAGGCUGCAGGUGACACUGUCCUCUUGAUAGGCUUGAUGUGAGUGAGAAGGGCCCGUCACCAUAUGACGCAGCUCAGGGAAGUGCAUCGUCCUGAGGAACAAGAACCAACAGGGCCCCAGGAAGACCCAGAUGCUGAAGAGGAGGGACCAAAUCCACGGAGGCAUUUGACGCAACCAUGGGUCUGACAUCUCUCACGCGUGGAGAUGACAGUGCCACACAUGCCUUCACUUGUCAAGGGAUGUGGUGGAUCAUAACUACCACAUUGUCUGCAAGGAUCUCACUCCACACGGACUGGGAGACCAUCCAAUGCUGGUGGCACUGGUAUCAGUUGCACUCAUCUCUUUUGCCAGCAGAUCGGCUGGGGCCCUCUGCGGAAUCUCCCAUUGAUCCACUCAUAAAUGCAUAUGGGAGGUGACCGAUGCCCUUUUCAAUAAGGCUCACUAUUACAUGCAGUUCACCAUGGAUGAAACAAGCCAAGUUGCCAGAACUGUGGGAUUCGUGACGAUCUUCAGCUUCCCACGAGUGCAGGGCACCAUCGACUGCACACAUGUGGCCUUAAGAGAUCUUUGACAGUAGCCAAUAAGAUUUAUCACGAGAAAAGGAACCCACUCUAUAAACAUGCAGCUGAUCUGUGAUCACCAAAAGCAGAUAACGUGUGUUUGUGCAAGGUAACCUGGCAACUCGCAUGAGUCUUACAUCUUAAGUCACUUGCAGGUGCUACAGAUCUUCAAGGAUGCUCAACACGUUCAAGGUUUGCUCAAUGGUGAUAAGGGGCACCUCCAAAGGCAAUUCGUUUGGCGGCCACUAGGAAAUGUACAAUGUGGUGUAUUCUGCAACAUGGUCCUUAACAGAGCAGACCAUUGGCAUGUUGAAGACAGUGUUUCCGAUGUUUGGACCAAUCAGGUGGCACUGUCCAGUACACUCCAUGGAGGGUUUCCGACAUCAUCGCUCUACACAACCUAGUAUUGCAAAGUGAGGGAUCAGUUGUUACAUGGAGACAGGGGAGGUACAUGUCUCCUCAGAUGAGGAGGAUGUGGAAUGGGAUGAACCUGAAAAGGGCGAGGAUCCUGAUGCCACAAGGGGUGGGGGGGGGGUGCAUCUGUUACACUUGAAUGAAUACAGAACAUUGCAUCACAUGGAAGAACCAAUCAGUACCUGAGACCUUGAGGGAGAGAAGCAAAAUAUAUUUGCAAAGGUGCAAAGUAUAAAUAGUGAUUGAACGCCUGUGCUUUCAGAACUUCUUUACUUCUAACUUUACCACUGUGUCUUGGUGCUUUCCCUGACAUCCGCAGCAGAGGUGGAGGCAGCCUCCUGAUUACUACGCCCUGCUGUCCGAGAUGCCUUUAGCGGGCGUCCUCUGGAGGCCCGAGGCCUGGAGGGCCCCUGCCUGUUAAGGGUACCCCUGCUUAGGGGCAAGUGCACCCUCCUCCACCUGGCCUGCUGGAGUUUAUGAGAUCACAGGCAGAGGGGAUUUGGAGCAGCUGGACACCCUUGGAGUGUCCUGGGUGGAUGCCCCAGCGGUGUCCGGCUGACGUUCCUCCUCCCUGUGGGUACCCAAGGGCCCCUUCCCUGACUCCUCGAGGAGAAGGGACACCUGGAGGGAGGGCGAGCUGCCCACCUGGAGGGAGGGUGAGUUGACCCAUCGCCCUCUUGCGUAGCCACUGCUGAAGCGCACUCAUGGCUAGAGCAAUGACAUGCAGGACUGACGCAAAUCUGUCAGAAACUGCUGGACCUCGAUUUCCAAGGCGGCUUCCUUCCAAUGGCAACUUUGAUGCACUUGCGUGCCGGAGCCACGACAUCAGACAGAACACGGUGAGAUUCCUCGAUCCUUCCUUCCAAUCUGCUGACUGGAAGUUGCUAGCAACUCUGUCUAAUGUUCCCCUGCCUGCCUCUGCAGCUCCAAUAUUUCUCUCAGGGCCGAUUCCAGAGGCUCAUCAUCAGACUCAGCAGGGCCUGGUCUCCGGCAGUCCUCCGAGUGUCAGAGACCUGGGCUGCCACUGCCUCUGCCUGCUGUGGGCACGUGUCCGUGCUGUGCUCACCAAAUCGUGACCCCAAGCCUAUUCUAGAACUCGGCCCCUACUGAGGUGCGUGUAUUUGCACUGAUGAAGGGUGCAGGUGAACACAAUGAUGGGUCUUCAUCAGAUGCCUCUCCAGGAUUCUCAUCCAAGGUGGUCUGGGGGCUGGGGCUGAUGCACUGGCCGGUGCUCUCCUUCUGCCUUCUCUUGCUAUUAGCUGGAAUAGAGAAAAGAGAUAAUUAGUCAUUGGCUAGACAGAUUGUAGGUCGCUCAGUCUUUGUCCACGUGUGGCCACGAUGUAUACUGGAUGGACACUCACUGGCUCAUUGGAGGAGGUUGAUCUCAUUUUCCACGCAAGAACGAUCUCUGUCCUCACUAGCCAGCUCUGCCGCUUACUCCUUGCGUGGAAGAUGAGUGUUCACUGCGGCAUCCCUCCUCCGGUCUGGCCUCUCUCCCUCUUGUAUGUUGUGGGCGAUCUUGUCCUGCAUAAAGACAGACGGACUGACUGUGAACAUCACAGAUGAAAGGGCAGAUCUGAAGCAGGUGUGCCUGCUGUGUGGACUGAGCUUUCCUCAGUAAAGGAUGAAGACACCAGUUGUGCAGGAUCUUACAGGAGACAGCGAUGUUAAAGUGGCUGACAGACGAUCAGCGCUGAUGUCCCUUCUGCUGGUAAAGUGUGACAUCCCUGUGGACUGUAACCCUUAGAAUGUCUGGUAGCCUAAUGGGAGUGAGAUAAAAACAAAAAAACUGCAGAUGCUGGAAAUCCAAAACAAAAACAGA